rnacentral:rRNA from 1 species
GAGUUUGAUCCUGGCUCAGGACGAACGCUGGCGGCGUGCCUAAUACAUGCAAGUAGAACGCUGAAGAGAGGAGCUUGCUCUUCUUGGAUGAGUUGCGAACGGGUGAGUAACGCGUAGGUAACCUGCCUGGUAGCGGGGGAUAACUAUUGGAAACGAUAGCUAAUACCGCAUAAAAUUGAUUAUCGCAUGAUAAUUAAUUGAAAGAUGCAAUUGCAUCACUACCAGAUGGACCUGCGUUGUAUUAGCUAGUUGGUGAGGUAACGGCUCACCAAGGCGACGAUACAUAGCCGACCUGAGAGGGUGAUCGGCCACACUGGGACUGAGACACGGCCCAGACUCCUACGGGAGGCAGCAGUAGGGAAUCUUCGGCAAUGGGGGGAACCCUGACCGAGCAACGCCGCGUGAGUGAAGAAGGUUUUCGGAUCGUAAAGCUCUGUUGUAAGAGAAGAACGGGUGUGAGAGUGGAAAGUUCACACUGUGACGGUAUCUUACCAGAAAGGGACGGCUAACUACGUGCCAGCGCCGCGGU